GCCCCCGUUGUCUAAUGGUUAUGACGUCGGACUUCUACGACGUUCGUUACGUAAUCCGGAGGUUGCGGGUUCGAAUCCCGCCGGGGGUA